rnacentral:rRNA from 1 species
AGCGAACGCUGGCGGCAGGCCUAACACAUGCAAGUCGAACGGACCCUUCGGGGUUAGUGGCGGACGGGUGAGUAACACGUGGGAACGUGCCUUUAGGUUCGGAAUAGCUCCUGGAAACGGGUGGUAAUGCCGAAUGUGCCCUUCGGGGGAAAGAUUUAUCGCCUUUAGAGCGGCCCGCGUCUGAUUAGCUUGUUGGUGAGGUAAUGGCUCACCAAGGCUACGAUCAGUAGCUGGUCUGAGAGGAUGACCAGCCACAUUGGGACUGAGACACGGCCCAAACUCCUACGGGAGGCAGCAGUGGGGAAUCUUGCGCAAUGGGCGAAAGCCUGACGCAGCCAUGCCGCGUGGAUGAUGAAGGUCUUAGGAUUGUAAAAUCCUUUCACCGGUGAAGAUAAUGACUGUAGCCGGAGAAGAAGCCCCGGCUAACGUCGGGCCAGCCGCCGCGGUAAAAC